rnacentral:tRNA from 1 species
AGUUAAUGAGCUUGUAUAAGCAUGUAUUUUGAAAAUACAAGAAAGAGAGCAACUCUAUUAACUU